rnacentral:misc_RNA from 1 species
GGACUUUGGACUGGUUUGUUUAUGUCGUCACUCAUUGUAGUGGGUUUCUUAUUAAUUAUUUAGUUAUUCUAAUUAUUAGUUUCCUUUCUAUUGGGAUCUUUGUAUAAAUUUAUGCUAAUAUCGUCUUUAAUUCCUCUCUCUUCCAUUUCUGGAGGGUUGUUACUUGUUUGAAAAAUGCCAGACUAAUGGUGGUCAGGAAAGCAUUAUUCAAGCUUUUCUAUCUAGAUGCAUCUGUGGAUAUGGUAUUUAAAUUGAUACUUCUUGGAUUAUGAUUCCGAAGGGGAUCACUGAUUACGGUACUUAAGGACAGGAUGAAGGAAACGCGUGAUAUUGUUGAGAACAUAAGAACUACUUUUGAAAUGAGAAGGGGGCAUUAAAUGCAAUCGAAUGCAAUGCUAAGCAGGCUCAAAGAGCUUCAGACUUGGGUAAAAUUUCUGAAGUUACUCGAGGAUUUUGAAAGGGCUGAUGUAUACAUUUUGGCACUUGUAAAGACAGCAAAGUAUAUUACCAUCUUUCUUCCCAUCCAUGAAUGUUGCCUAUUAGUCGCAGGUUUCCUAGUAUAAAUGCUGUGUAAGUGGCAUGUCAAGACUGCUGGAUUAGUUUGAUUUAGAAAACAUGCUUCCCAAGUAUUUGUGCCAUGUGGAGGAUGGUCUCCAAUGCAUUGGUUGAAAUUUGUCUUAGUUCACUUGGAUGCUUCCUGAUAUUGAUUUUUGCUGAUGUGCCUUUUGGGUGGCAUGAGAUUCUUAGUUUCUGCAAGUCCUUGUAAUUUUGGCAAUACUACAGUUGUGGGGCAUGUUUCGAACUGCUUGAUUGGUACUUAGAUGGAGUUCCUUUUUGUAGUUGCUUAAAGAGAGAUUGUUUGAAAUAAAUGUUUGAUUAUGAUAUAUGAAAUUGAUAACCCUUGUAACUACUGUUCAAAUAUUUUUCUCUGCUUUUGGCACAUACCUGAUCUCCUGAAAUAGAGAGCUUAUAUUGUGCAGACAGCAGACUAUACAUUUAAUCAAAACCAAGUACUAUAAUAAGAAGGAUCUAAGUGGUGGAUGCGCUGCCUAGUUCUUCUGGACCGUGGUGGAUAGGAACUUAUAUUAUGGUCAAACAAAUUCUUAUAACAUAUGUGUGCCAAACAACCUGUUAUUCUGUGUGGUUUAGGGACACACACAAAUGUGCAACAUUUAGUUCCUCAGAAUCACAAUUAUUAAAUCCAUCAUCAUACCUGAGAAGAUGUUUUAACCAUAGAUAUGUAGAAUGAAAUUGAAAUUGUUGACAUAUGAACAAGUAAUAUGAUGUUGUUGGCCUAGAAACUUUAAAU